rnacentral:rRNA from 1 species
UAACAAAAACAUUUUCUUUUAAGUAAAAGGUAAAGCCUGCCCGGUGUAAUAAUAAACGGCUGCGGUAUUCUGACCGUACGAAGGUAGCAUAAUAAAUAGUCUUUUAAUUGGGGACUGGAAUGAAAGGUUUAAUCAGGAAUUUGCUUUUUUAUAAUUAAAAAUAUAAAUUAAUUAAUAAGUUAAAAGGCUUAUGUAUUUUAAAGUGACAAGAAGACCCUAAGAGUUUGACAAAUGAUAUAGAAGUGAAUAGCUAGUUAGAAGUGAGGCAGGUUUGAUAAAGUUUGUUUGACUGGGGCGGUGAAAAUAUUAUCUAUUUUGUUAAGGACAUUAAUAAAGGGAGUAGAUUUAGUAAUAUCCUAAUUGGAAAUCAAGAUAAAUUACCUUAGGGAUAACAGCAUAAUCUUUUUUGAGAGACCAUAUUGACAGAAAGGUUUGUGACCUCGAUGUUGGAUUUGAAUAACUUUUUGGAGCAGCAUUUAUAAAAGUUGGUCUGUUCGACCAUUAAAUUUCAACAUGAUUUGA